CUCUUCUAAUUUAUUUGUAGAAAAGCCACUACAUUUGCUGUCCUGGAGCCACCACAGGGCUCAAAGCAGAGCUGUAGGAGUGGACAUCACAGUGUGACCCCCAGAGCAAUCCCAGGUGUUGCCAAGUAAUCUCCCUUCGGCCUUUUCUGUUUAAAACUCAAAAGAAGGCUUCAAAAUAAGAAGUGGCAGACUUCAGCAGCACCAGAGAUCUUUCUGAGCUCUCCCUGGAGGUAUCCCUACCUAAUUGUCCCUGAGUAAAAACAAGUAGGUGAAAUUCCUUCUCCUUAAGCUGCAGUGCAGGGACCCUUCUGCAUUUCCAUGGAAGUGAAAGCUGAGCCAUUUCCUUUAAUGUAUCAUCUAGCAAAGUUGGCUGCACAAUAAAUGGGUUGUGGUAAAGCCAGAAACUCCCUAACCAUGAGGCUUUUCUCCUUCAUGCGGAAGCACGAUGCUUACCUGUCUCUCCCCAUUAUUUUUAUAUACAUACAUAUGUAUGUGUGUAUGUUUUAAGUAAUAAUAUAAAAGUCUGGGGGAAGUGCCAGUGGCGAACAGAGUGGGAAGGCAAAGGUGUCAGUGCUGGAUCAAAGACCAUACUAAUGUGUUGUAAUUACAAAAUACUGCAACAAACAGAAAAUCAGAUGUUCUGGGUCAGCAUGACAUUACCAAAAAAAACCCAAAAAACAAAACAAAAAACCAAACAAACAAUAAAAACCCCCACCACUCAUUGUGGUAAAUGGGAUGUUCCUAAAUGUGACAAGAUUAAGCUGUCAUCACUUUAUUCUGUGCUGAGCCUAGAAAGGUUAUGCUGACCCACUGGAUGCAGUGCAGAAGCCAAGUGUUUGGAGGUGACCCCUCCAGCUUCAGGGAUGUAUAUCUCCACAGUGAGGAAAUGAGGCACAAGAUGUUUCUAAUCCCACCAUAGAAUGAAAUCAUUAUAUUCUCUCAGAUGGCUGUAGUGGUGGCUGCUGGGACACCAGUCAACAAGCAGGCAUUUGAUUCACAAAUAUAAAAUAUUCCCCUUCAGUAUGGUAUGGUAAUACAUGCCUAUUGUGAAGAAUUUCUUUUGCUCACGCAGGAGUUGAUGUCUUGCCUCCAUCUUCAUUGAAUACUGUAGUUCAAUAAAAUCAGGCCUUUGCCUAUUUUUACCUAUAGAUUUGGCAACAUGAUACAAAAUUGCUCCUGCUCUAAGUAGAGGUUUUCAUUCAUAUUUGAAUCAACUCCAUUAAAAUAAUCUCUGGUGCUUUCAACUGCUACUAAAUCUCUCCAAGGAGGAAAACAUAUUGUUGUUAUUACUGUUUCUGCACUUCGUACGAGUAAAUUUGUUUGAAAAGAAAAUAGAGGGCAAAAACAAUGCUGACUUAAUGAGAAUCAUAUCACCAUUUUAUUUUCUUUAUUUUACACAAGUGUUUUCAUUCAGAAGUUUAUUUAUUACAAGCAGCGAUAGGAUUCUUGAACUAAUAUUCUCAGAAAAAAGUUGUUACAAGUAUUUUAACAAGUAUCAGGUGCCUCCUGGUUAAAUAGAGAAGAUAUGAGACAAGAGUUUCAUUGAAGGACAAACAAACAAGUAUGCUAAUCCCAGCUGUACAGCAUGAGGAAGGACCAGCAUGCAACGUGAAUAAAGGAGAGAUGCUCAGAAAACAACAAAGUCAGAGAGGAGCUACACGAUUUACAGCAAAACGCCUGGUUUAAAACAUGGUGUUCUGAAGUUGUGAAGUGGCCUUAUACUCUUGAACAACUGAAAAUGAGAUCCUUAACAGUGGAGAAAUCUGUAGCCUGAGUGAAAAUGAAAAUCCCUGUCUACUGGAGGGAACUAAGAAAAGAGAUACGCCUCCUUUUUUUCCUGAGAAAAGGCUGCCCAUGUACAUCCAUGUGGUCUUGUACACACUUGUUACUGGCUGAGCAAUGGCAGUGCAGAGGCACAGGAAAACCAUUGUCUCUCAUACCUAUGUCCACAAUUGUCAAAUCCGUUACAUCAUUAACACAAGCUUAGUUGUGGGAUAUUGUCCUGUGCGUACUUCAUCAGAGAUUUCUUAUCCUUUAGAAACAUGGAAACAACUUCACUUCCCGUCUCCAGCAUCUGUCAUUCACUGUAUUUCCUGAAGCCGCACUGCCAUGUUAAAAACAAAAAACCCAAAACCUUGGAAUGCCUUUUUCCUAUUUUAGCAACAAAACAGUAGACCCUGCAGAGUCAGUGCAGUCCUGGUGGGUGUCUAAUUGCCCUAAUACCACAGAGCAGCUCUUACUCACUGACGGUGGGCUGACUGCUCCCCAAAGAGGCUCCAUAAGGAGGCCUGCACUGACAGCUCAGCACAGGUACUGGGAGAAACAAGCUCCAGAGAAGAGAGAGAAGGCUUUGAGCAGGAAAAGUGUGUCGAAUCGGUACCUGUCAGCUGUGCCCUUUGAGCCAUCACUGAGAUCUCCUGUGCUUUGCUGAGGCCUUCUGGGCAUCUCACCCAUGAAACCUAAUUUUUUCUGUUCAGGCUUGGACGACUCCUCUUAUUUCACAUGUCUGCACUUCUGCUGAGUCACAAGAAACCAUUCAAGUGAAUUUCAAAGCUGUCCUUUUCAGCUGGUCAUCAGCUGAUUGUAUGAACACAGCCCAAAAUGGAACAGAGUUGAGAUGGAUCAUAUGCUACUUGUAUUGGAUACCUCUGUCAUUUGUAGGAUGCUGGGUUUGCAGCUGUGGGGCAUACAUCAGAAGUGUUAAAAAGAAGUACUUAUGUGACAGGGCAGUACCUGUGGGAAGAAACCCAUUUUAAGACAGAAGGCAGCACGAUUACUAGCAUUAUCCCAUGAGACUCUAGAGCAGAUUAUUUUACUGACUUUUUAAUGUCAAGUGUUACGAAUUCUUUGGCAACCGGCCUACAGUUGUAAGGUGUUAAGAUAUUAGGUAAGUAAGUGUGGCAGGAAAAUGUUCUGUUUUCUUUAUUCACAAGUAAGGAGCACAGUGGAUCAUAAUGAUCCAUUCAGUGAUCUCAGAAGGAAUCUUACCAGUGAGACAAAACGUCCGACACAGCAAAAGCAGCUCUUAAGAUAGAUAAGCCUUUCAGAAGAUACCAGGUCCUGUUAAAAUACUUCAGACUUUUCUGAUGCCAAACCAUGCAGCUGGUCAUGGCUUACUGUUAGUGUUGGAGAGUUGUAUCGUACUCUUUUCACUCAUGCACUUUCCACGUGGCUUUGGGCAUUGUCCUGAUUGCAAGGCCACUGUCACACAGCCAGAACGGCAACAAAAAUGAAAAUAAAAGGGUCACAGCAAAUGGCUUCAGGAUGGAAGCAGCUGCAGGCCUUCACAUGGGUUACUGCAGCCUGUACCUGCAAGCACAGCGACUGUUGGCUAAAGUAGAGCUGUUGCCACACUAACCUCAACCUACAUGCCUUUUUCUUCCAGCCAAUGGGAAUUCCUGAAACAUUUUCCAGUCGUUUAUUGCAGUACAAGUUAAUGUUUAACAGGCUCAAGUCUAGCCUUCAGUGGGGCAUUGAACUGGCUUCACAAGGGAAAAAUAGUGCAAGGGCCAGACUACUUAGAUAUGCUAAAGUGGAAUAGGAUGUUUAAAGGUGGUGAGAAAUCUCUUGAGCCUUCAGUUUAACAUGAGCACUUUUCACAGAGAGAAAAUAUUGUCACUGUGACCAACUGCGAGUAGCCAAAGUAGUUUAAGCGCAAGGAAUAUAUGAAGAAAGAGGAGAGGAAGUCCCUUGGUGCCAGAUACUGGACUUCUUUGCAUGUUUUUUUUUUCAGAUGGUUAUUUGCUUUGUUUCCUUCACAUGAAAGUCCCCACACAGUGGUUCUUCAUCACAAAAUAUUGAAGACCUACUUGCUCAUCUUUCCAAGUGAGUUUUCAGCUUGUGUAAAAUAGGCUUACCGCUUUCUCUUUGGGGUUAUGCAUUCAAGAGGACUGAAAUUUUGUUGAAAAUCUGAAAUGCUGAAAUCAGAAAUUAACAUCUCUGCCGGAACCAGACAGACUGGCAGACACAUAGCUGAUAUUAGCAAAAGAGGACGAGAGUGAAAAGGAGAUGGUCAUACAAUUGGUGCUGAAGACCAAUUGUAAAUUGCGUUAGUGCAUUACAGACAUGCACCUCAUGCAUGUAUCUGAGCUGAAAGGACAACAUAUCCUCUUGAAGCGUGCUGACAGCUCUGUUUUCAUCAAAGUUGUGUAGGAAAGGGUGUAUUUUUUUUGUUUAUUUGGUUGUUUAUUUAAACCAAACACAUUUCAAAUCCUCUGAAGUCUUUAUAAAACAGAAGAGUUUCCUUUAGAUAGAGCGGUUAACCUAAGUAAAUAAUGCCUGCAUAAACAAGACUUCCAGUGGAAUAACAAGCUAUUAAAAAAAAAGCCAUAAAAUCUGAGAAACAUGGAAAAGAUCCCUUCAAGCAGCAUUUCAGCAUUUCACUGGCCAGCUGCUGGCAGAACGCCAUCUAGUACUUCUGCUGUUAUGAGAAGCAGAGUCUCAGCUCCAUCUAGAGACUCAGCCCAGCAGCUGCCUGCUUGAACAGGCACCAAAUUCACACUAUAUUCAACCCACUAUGGGAAGCAAGUUUGAACAUUCAGGCGCUCUUGCAGAUUUCAUCAAGUACAUCUCUGUGAGCACACGCUCUCGCAUGCCCAUGUCCUUCAUGAGAAGAUGUGCUCAGGUCAACAUAAAAAGAUUCCACAAAUUAAUUCUUUCAAUCCAGCAAAACACUCAUCUUUGAGGCAUUAUGAAUAGCAUGGUGUGGGGACCUGUUCAGAUAUGUCCUCAUCUCUGGUAAUUGUUUGCCUAAGAAAUCUACACAUGAGUAGAAAAUAAUUUGAAGUGCUUAUCUACCAGUCCUUUAAAUUCUUCACUCUUUCCCUCCUUUUUUUUCUGAUAGAGCAUUUGAUUUCAGUCCUUCUUCCUGCUGCAAUGCUUCAUCCUCUGCUCUUGUUAUUUUCCUGCUCAUUCUUCCACUCCCAGAUGUACACAGAUGAGGAAAGAGACUACUUUUUCAUUAUUUGAGUUUCUAUUGGCUGAUGGAAGGGCUAAGUAACUUUUGUUGCUCCUUCACUUCAGUUUUCCUUGAAGCAAAGAGAAGUUAUUUGCUGCUCAGAAAGAAAGCAAGAACAACAGCAUUAAACUCAUAUCCUCUACCUGAAACAAGUGCAUUUUCCUUGUAGUCCUGCCCAGACAAGAAGUUUCCCACUAAGUGUGAGAAAGAUGGGCAAGCAAGAUUCUGAUUCACCAUUUUAGGUGUCCCACAGUCAGCGUGAGAGGAGAUACCGAACAGUUCAGUUAACCUGCGCAUCACCUAAGACCCUUAUCUGUAAGGUAAAAGGUGUCGUAUUUGUUUAGUAUGUGGCUUUGCCUUUUUAAUCCUCAGGGUUUUUUUUACUCUUCUAAACUUGGACGUGAUGAUGUCAGCAGAGAGAAAGGGGAUACUGUUAGCCGUCUUUGUGCAAAUGCCUUUGCCUCUCUCUUGAGAAAGCCAGGUUAAUUGGCAAAGGCUAAUUAGAAAAUCAUAAAUGCUGUAUUUGUUUGUUAUUUCCAGGGCCUGGUUUCUUAAUGUCAGUACCAAAUAUUUGUCUCAUUCUGAUGUUACAUCUUGGGUUCGUGCAGAAGUAUGAAGAUUCAGAAUCACUCUGAGACUAUUACUGCACAUAUGGCGUCCUCAUUUGCUCUGAGGGUGAGAAGCGCACACUAGAAUAUGCCGAGGGAAUUAUGAACUCCUCAGCAAACUGGCGGAGAACAAAGAGCCGACUUCAUAGUCUCUCUGGGUUUGCAACAAAUGGAUCCAAAUCCUGAUUUGCUCAGCACAGAGCAGCAGUCUCCAGCCCCACACCAUUGUUUCUAAAAGUAAGCUGGUCCCUAAUGUGCCACAACUCUAUACACACAGCCUGCAAAAUCCUGAGGAUCCCCACCACAGUCUCAGUUCACUCUGUAGAGUUUUGCAAGAAAGCAGCUUUUUCAGCAUUAGCCUGUCAGGCACAAUUCUUGCUCCCAAAACAAAGACCUGGGCUGGGGCUUGGCCCUGCCUCAAAAGAAAUUCCAGUAGCUAUUUGUAAGCCAUAUAGGUGUGCCUCGUGCAGGCUGUAAUUGAGAUCCAUGUGAUAAGUGGAAACGUUUUAAUUAAGUGGCAUAAUCUCUCCCACCAGAUAAAGAAGAGCUCAGGUAACUUCUCCAGCAGGAGGAAUGCACAUGACCCUGACACAUGAUCUGGUCUCCUCAAGAUACCCCAAGUGCUACACAGCUGCCAGCCUCAACACCUUGCCCAGGACAACAGGUACAGCAGGAGCUAUUGGGUAGAACACCUCCACCUCUGACACCAGAUACUUUGAGAUGCUGAUCCAAGUGGGAAAUUACAUCAGCUAAUCCUAUCACCAGAUCUUUAUGCUCUGCCCACAUUUGCCAGCCUAACAGGUGAGAAAGAGCCUCACCUACCCGAGGCUGCUUUAAUGUCCUUAUUACUGUGUUCAUGUGCCCACAGUGACAGCACUGAUGUUGGCAAAGAUGCUGAACUGCAGUAUUUAGAUGCUGAGAAGUUUCUUGCACUGGUCAGUGUUCUUCUUGCAGCAGAGUCUCCUGUCCAGCCCUGUGUUAUUGCCAAGUUUUUCCAGGUUAAUUAGUUAUGUACUGUUCUCUAUGUAGUGAAGCUGGUCACAGUUACAUGGGGAACUUCAUCUACCAGUUUGUUGGUUGUUUUUCUUUUGAUAGAGGAACAACAGGUUGCACCACAUCAGCAACAAUGUCUGAGCCAUCUCCCAAGGAACAUGUCACAGCCCCCAGGAGACUGGCUGCCUGGUAAAAAACAUUUAUCAGGAAAUAAAUAAAUAUCAGGGAAGCCCCAAAUCCCUGCACCACCUGAGGAAAACAAAACCUUUGCAUGCAGCGGCCCCCAUGAGCCACAGGCUGUAUCCUAGGCCUGCUGCAGGGUGCCUGAGAAGGGCUCCUGGGAGGCACUGGCCUUGCACAAGGCGACCUCACUCUCAAAGCCACUGCAGCCAUCACUGCUUACACAGGGGCCAUCAGAGGAACUUCACUGCCUCCAGGCAGCCUCUUCCCUUUAAGUGGAGCAAGGCAAGCAGUGAGUGCUUUGAGACCAGGGCCAAGCCUGGCUCAGGCUUUUAAGGGGAAAAGAGAAAGAAGAAUCAUUUCUAUUAAAAGAAGCAGAAAAAAAAAAAAAAAAAAAAAAAGGCAAAAAAGCUUCCUUAGUAAAACCAGUUGACUUCUGAGAAACCAUGGGAUGGUCAGGACAUCCAGUAACACCACUGGGCCUGCUGGCAGCUUGCUCUUAAAUGACUUAUCAGGGUUUAUGCAAGCGGAGAGGAUUUACUUGGCCUGCAGAACACCCCUGAGAUAUUAGUGCUCAACCUUUUGCCAAAGAGAGCAGAAAACACUUUCAUUUUCUGCUUUGAGUUGGGGUGUUUGGUUGUUGGUUUUUUUGUUGUACAAACAUGGAGAGAUUGUGUUGUACAGCAGCUACAAGAGCAUCUCUUGUGGAUAGGACAUGUAGGGAGGUGAAUGUGUAGUCAACAAUUCCAGGGCAUGAGGUGGCCUAGGGAGCCCCAGCAGUGGUAGUACCCAGCUUGAUACUGCACAAGCCUCACCUCCUGGGGCUUCUCCCUCCCCCAGCACCCUUUAUUACCUCAUUUUGAGUCUCCUUUCUAGCUCCCUUGGUGCCAUGAUGACCCAUCACAUGCAGCAGAGGACACAAGGUAACUUUUCCGCCUGCUUGGCUUUUUGCUUUGCUAAUGACUAAUUUUUCUAGUACUUAAAGCUGGAAUUUGCUGCUCAGGCCAACUGCGUCCUUGCUGUAGUGUCACUGGCUCCAAGUGAAAAAACAGCAAAUAACUGGGCUCACAAUUCCUUCUAAUUUUUAUUCUUUUUAUGUAUUGUGUGCAGUGCUUGCCUAAAAGGAGCGGCGAAUAUUUUGCUUUGUGCAGUUUGUCUACAAACCCCAUGCAAAGAAGGGCUCAUCCACAACUUCUGGCAGGCUGGCAAGAGGUGGAGACAUUUUUUGGAGGAGGAGAUCAGCUCAAAGCCACCCUGUCCCCACACAGGGAGUUCAGGAGCAAGUAAAUCAUUUCCCUGGGCAAUAAUUCCCUGCACAGGAAGCAGCUGGCUGUGCCAGAGUCCUGAAGUGCCUGAACUGGGGUAUGUUCACAGAGCGCUUUCCAUAGUGACUGAAUUAGAAGAACUCUGGGCAGUGCACAGCUUUUGGUCCCAGUUUGUGGAAAGCAAAAAGCCUGGUUGCUGUCUGGACCAAGACUGCCAGAUAUGUUACAGCAGCAGCAGAAAGAGACUUGCAGUUCAUUUAAGCAUCAUCGUUGUGUAAAUGAGGUGUUCCUUACCUAUGAGUGUAGCUUAAAGCACACAUAUAUUUGUGUUUUAAGGGCAGCACCUCUUUUUGUGGCAGAAAUUUAUAUAGAAGUCAGUGCUGCUUUACUGUUUCAAACCAUUGAAAUGGCUGCUUACUUCAGGUGCCUCCUCGUCCAGAGAGGGAACCAAAUUUGAUGUUUCUUUACCAUUUCCACUGUUCAGUGUGUGACAUAAGACUUGCCAAACCAGUCAUUGCAAUUCUAACACUCCAUCUGCUUUACUAAAACUAAGCGGAAUAAUUCUGUACUCUCCCAGCCGUGUCAGCUGCCUGGGCCAAGACAAUGGUGAGACAGAAGCAGCCCCAUUGGGGCACUGCAGGAGAGUGGCCGUGCUGGUAAUGCUGUGAGAAGAAACCGGGACACAAAAGGGAUUGGGGUAGGACUACCACUGACAUGUUUAUUUAAAGUUUAACCAAUGGGGUAAUUUGUGCUCUCUACACCUAUAGUUCUUUCCUGGCAGACCAACAGCAUCCCUGCAGUAUACAUGUCCCAGCAACACGUGAGCAGUGCACUGUAAGCUGCUUUAGCCCAAAGCCAUUACAUAAAGUGAACCUGUGCAAGCUGUUUUCUAUAAAAGGAACAAGUGGUAUUUUUAGCAGGCUUUAUGUAGUUGCUUGGCAAGGGGAAGAAACAGGAGAUGCCUCAGUACCUGGAAAGGAGCCCCUGACACCAUCAGUGACUGCGAUAGCUGGGUUUGGGAUGUGAGAGGGCACAUCCCUGUUACUGGACCUGUUUACAGUCCUCUUUCCUAAUGACAGUUUCUAUUCAGUUUCAUGUAACAUUGAGUGCAAUAUACAGCUUUUUCUGCAUCCCUAACUGGCCUUAAGCAGAGAGCUCUACCUCCAUCAGCACCUUGCUGACCAUGCCCUGCAUGUACCUCCUAGUAAGGAAGGACACCUCCCCACACACACACACACACACACAAGGGAAAAAAAACCACAACAACUUGUAUUGGGCUGGCAUUUGUAGCCGUUUUCCUUUUUAUUACUACCUAGAGUGCAUGCAGUUCUUCCCCAUUUUCCUAACAGGAACACUGGGCUGACUCCUGCCUAGAAUGCUCAGCUGGGUAAGUGCAAAUUUCAAAAAGCUAAGACUCUAUAAAGUAUAUGCGAUUACAGAGCCACAUAUCCCAAAUCUCUCUGGGUCUAUAAAGGCUGGUCCUGUGCUUCUCUACAUGAGACGGGACCUUUCUGAAUGUCCUCUCCACCCAGAGACCUGCCAGACAUUUGGCCUUAGCAAUGGUAACAAUGACAGCAGUGAUCCAGGAAUCUUCAUUCGGUCAAACCAAACGGAAUACAUAAAAACCAAAACAAAACCAAACCACACAACGCUCCAAUAAAUGCAUAAAGUUACUUUAUUUUCAGUAUACAUUUAAUUUUGAAAAAUAUAAAUGCUAAAAUAUCUCAUCAUCUUCAUCUUUUGAUUCCAUAAAAGUCACAAUAGAAAGCUUCAUAAAACUGUAAAAUACUAUGUUAUAAGGAAUUUCAUGUUUUAUAUUAGUGGAAAAAAAUUUAACAUAUUGAAAUGUUUUCUGCUUUUGUCGGUUUUGUUCCACCAUCUUGAUCCGCUUCAUUUUACGUUAAUUCUUUAUUCUUUCCUCCAAAGCAAAUACAGACUUAAGAGAAUUAAAAACAAUAAAAGUAUCUGAAAGUGCGUAUUGAUUCCAAGGAAAAAAAAAAAACAACCAAAAAGUAAUGCAUACAAAUAUAUGUCAACCUUGACGACAAAUAAGUAGUGGCUACAGAGGCAGACAGUCACCAUUUUCAUGGGUCUGGGACAAAGUCAUCUGCAGUUGGCUUGUUUUCUCUGGGUGACAGCAGCAUUUCUGCCCUCAGUAGGUGCCUAUUUUUGUAGGACUUCUAAGAUAAACUGUUUGGGGAGGUUCUUUUUUGUGUGAUUUUUUUAUGGACUCUUCUGAUUUCAGAAGCCAGAAGUGCUUCCUCUGCCUUUUCUCACCAAAUGUCCAAUUCUGAACCAAAAUUAGUUUUAUUGUCACAAGGCCUACAAAAGUGCAGUGAAACUCACCUUGUGGUGACAUCAGCCCAUCAGAUGCUAUUAGGCAGCUGCUUUUCCGCUGCCUUCCAUCUCUUGGUGCCAGCAGAGCUCUUGCUCCCUGUCUUUGUUUAAUUUUGUUAAAGGAAACAAAAUAGGACAGACAACCUCCCACAAAGGGCUGUUGUCAGGAAGCGGGAAAUAAAAGAUUUCCAGCUCCUGUCUCCAUCCAGAGUUGUUUUUGACAUGGAAAACUACAGAAAUCUUUGUCCCAGCCUUUAAAAAACGCUGCCCUCUGUACAACAGCUCGCCUGUUAACAUAAGAAAUAAAAAAGAGACAGAUGUAGAUCAGCAGUCAAUACAGUUCAAGUACAUUUAAUGCGGUUCAAAAGUGGAAGACCUCAUUUUUGUGAAGACAAAUCACCAGGUAAGAGCAGAUGAAAGGAUGUUUGUGUGUGUGCGUAUAUGCAUGUGUGCAGUAUGCUGCGUUCUGAGCAUACUGUGGGCAGGGGGAGGGUUCUUUUGUCAGUGCUCUCUUAAGGAAAUCUUUUUCUCUAUAUUAAUCUACGCUGAUCUUUCCUUAUUUGGAUUUCUACAAAUAAAGUGUCUGGGCAAAACAUAAGAGCUCACAUGUACUGCGUACAUGAUGAUAUUUGAAUCUGUUUCCCCUUUGGUAGUCUGUGACUUACUUUCACCAAGGAAUUAAAACAGUUUUCUACACAUUAGGAUUGCACUUCCCAGGUUCUCUGUUCUCCAGCUAAUCCUAGCAGGCAGCAGAAGGGAUCACGCAGUGGCUGCUUUUCUGGCUGCCUUCAGAUGGCUCCUCACCCUUUGUGAAACCGGUUUGGGCUGCAUUUAGGGGAUGCUGAUAUCUCAGGGGCAGCAAAGAAAGAGCAAAGCUCUCCCUUCCUUGUGCACUGCUUCCUCACAGUAAACAAAAAUGUUAGGUAAGCAGGAAUUGGGAUUCCUUGGUAACCAGCUGGGGAAUGUACGUGUGUGUGCAUGUGUGUGUGCUGUGCCAGUUCCUCUGCAACUCAAUCAUCUUUGUGCAGCAAUGAGCACUAACACAAGAUUGUGCAAAUAGUAAUAAAAAAAACAUAAAAAACAAUAAUAAUAUUACAGUCCAUAUAACUGCAUCUUUUAACCAGAACCAGUAUCUGGGGAAAAGAGUUCUGGUUUGCAGCUCUGAUUGUUGAUGUGGUUAUUACUUGUUUGUGGGUGCUAGAAUUUGGCAUAUAAGGUCUCCCAGCACCGUGAUGAAAUCCUAUUUCCUUAAUCAACAUGGACUUUGGUUUCUUCACAGCAAGUGUGGAAGCCAUGAAGCUCUACCUUCCUAUUCAGUAUCUUUGCUACUUUAGGGAAAGAGAAUGAAACAAAGCCAUGUAUUAAGCAUUACAAAGCAGUUUCUGCAAGAGUGUUUUUAAUGCCCAGCACUGGGGGCUUAUUAAGGACUGUUUCCCCCCCCCGUGAGCUGCUCUCACAGCUGCUUCAGCCCCUGUAUGCUUCACUGCAGGGAGCUUCAUUUUUAAAGUGAAACCUUUGCAGCAUGUCAUAUGUAAUCCUCACACUUGGAAUAAAUGUGUACCCACUGCAGAGAAAAUAACGUGUCACAAGGUGAUGCUUGCUGGGUUUAAAACCAAAGACCUGUGUUACUGUGCCUAGCUGAUUUGCUACCGAUACAUCAUCAUGUAUGGAAGGUUUGGUUUAUCUGGCGGAGCGCCGAGCAGUCAAGGUGUAAGAGUAAAUUCUGCAAGUGACAGAAAGCAGUGCCUGGGCACUGUCAGUUCUCAAGGAGGAUCUGGAUCUUGUGUCUCAACCACACGCAGGGUGUUUCCACUUGCACACAUACACACACGUGCACACACAGAUGUUUCACAUGGACAAAUUCUAACAAUACUGCAUAGGAAAUCAACAAAAUGAAUACAAUCAGCAUCUGUCCACUGACACUGUUAACCGGUCAGUAUUUCACUUACCAACAGUACACUUAAGACCCUUCCUAGAUCACGAGAGAUUUAAGUCAUAUCCCAUCUCCUUCAUAGUGAAGUUAGAUCAUUCGUAACAAAUAAAAUAACCCUAAGUAAAACAGAAGCUUUAGAGCAGAAGGUGUUAAUAAAACUGAUCCAGCCCUAUGCCACGUCCUGGAGAUUGUGUAGGUUUUUUGUUGUGUUUUUUUUUUCUCUUUUUUGUAAAAAUCACAUGAGAUAUGGUACAAUACAUCUUUACAGAAAGCCUGGCAUCUAGAAAUAAGAGGUAGAACUACUCCAAACUAUACGUUUCCUGCUGCAGGAAAAAAUUCAUUUGUCUUUACAGUAAUUAAAAAAAAGGUUAAAAAAAAUUGUCAAAAAAAAAAAAAGAAGAAGUCAUAGGUUAGGCCCCCAUAAUUUAAACAAAAUAAUGUAGGAAAAUAACACUCUUCAAUGUACCUGACGGAUUAAGUCCAUUAAAGUGUUUCUUUAAAAAAAAUUGCAUAGGAAAGGGACGUUUGAAAACACAUGCUACAACGAUGGCAAUAGUUUGUCUGUGCUGGGAGUGAAGUACCUUUCAGCUUUCCUUCCUGUGUUACUACAAGUACAGGCUUUAAGAGCAAGUUAGUAUUAGCAGCACUUUCCAGCAUCUUAGAGCAGUGUAAUAAAGACAUUGAAUUAGCCUGGAGGUCAGUUUUGUUCUGCCAGACAACAAACAAACAAACAAACACUGAUUCACAACUAAAGUAAUGCCAGUUCCUCUGACAUUUCACAAAAGUAUUAUAUUAUAUCCUUAAUACUUCUGCCCUCUGCUUGAAAAUGAGAUGCGUGCAUGUCUAAGCAACAGAGAAGGCAAAAAUGAGUCUUGGUCAAAGUGGAAAAAUUGGCUGAGGAUAAAUAAGAGGAAAUCCGCAGGGGGGAUAAGGGCAGAGCGGGGAGCGCAGAAUGUCUCGUUUACCUUUGCGGGUGGGGAGCAGAGAGCAUUGUAAUAUUUGGCUAGUGACAAAAUAAAUUCCAUAUAAGACUUAACAGACAGACAAGUUACAAAGUAGUUUCUGUUCCCUUGCUCCUCCAGAAAUAACCAUUGUCUUCAGGCUCAAGUUCUAUUCUAAUUUGAGGCACAACUUUUACUGGAGUUCGUGGAGGGCUGCGAAGAAAAAGAAGGCAGGGUAGGGACAGAGGCUGUUUCUUUUAUACAAGUUGAACUUCCCACAUCAUCUCAGGAUUCCUAAGGUAUGAAGCAAAAACAACCUGGUUUUCCUGGAAAGCAUCUGCUCCCAUGUGACAGCUAUAACAAAAGGAUGGCUCAUCUUUGCAGUCUGAAAGAGUAAAGAAGCCAACUGCUAGUGUGAAAG